AGCCCCAAGCAAACCCUUUGAGCCAUUUUCAUUCAGUUCAACACAAAUCAACGGGGUUUCCAUAAAUAACCCUCAAAUAUCAACAGAGUAAUCAUCAUCCAAGAAUAAAAGAAUUUCAGAAAAAAUAACAAAAUACGACUUAUUAGUCAACUCCCAACAUCUAUACUAGUCUGACAAGCCUCUAAGAAAAUCAAUAAAACCAGCGAGCCAUUGAGACAUGCCCCAACUGACUCAUACUCAGUUAUCA
rnacentral:lncRNA from 1 species